CCAAAACAUGGUCAGGUUGUCACAGGAAUUCCCCACUCCUGGUACCAAUUUGUCUAAGACAGGGGUUUUUAUUCCUGCACAAACAUCAUGAUCAAGAAACAAGUUGGGGAGGAAAGGGUUUAUUCAGCUUACACUUCCUCAUGCUGUUCAUCACCAAAGGAAGUCAGGACUGGAAUUCAAGCAGGUCAGGAAGCAGGAGCUGAUGCAGAGGCCAUGGAGGGAUGUUAUUUACUGUCUUGCUUCCCCUGGCUUGCUCAGCUUGCUUUCUUAUAGAACCCAAGACUACCAGCCCAGGGAUGGCAUCACCCACAAUGGGCCCUCCCAUCCUUAAUCACUAAUUGAGAAAAUGCCCCACAGCUGGAUCUCAUGGAGGCAUUUUCCUCAAGGGAGGCUACUUUCUCUAUGAUAACUUCAGCUUGUGUCAAGUUGACACAAAACCAGCCAGUACACUUAACUCCCAGGAUACUGGGGAGACAACACAAAGGAUGGGUAGCCAGGGGGUGGCUGCUCUGUCUUCAUGGAAAUCUCCACAGGGGAUUGGACCCUCCACUACAGGAUCAUGGACAGCAGCUGCUCCCCCACAUGCCACCAAAAUGACAUCUGCCUGAAGAAGAUGGAGAGUAGCCCCAGGCCUUUCGUGACCUCUUCUUGAGCUGUGUUGCUGCUUCAGGACCCUCCAGCCACACUCACUCCAGGUUCUGCGACUCUGUGAUUCUAUUCUGGAAUCUCCACAGCUUUCCUAUCCUUUCCUUCUGACCAAAUUCUACAUUCACUUUGAGGUCAGCCGGUGCGCAUCACAAACCCUUGCCAACUCUUCUGCUUAGAGCAAGUCACUCUCAUCAGCAGCACCCGCAGCACCCUGCCUCAGCAGAUGCUUCCAAAUGUGUCCCCUUCUGAGCCAGAGAGCUCAGUCGAUAAGGCCUCAGAAGAGUUCCUGACACUCUGAGGGAACCACACCAAGCCUUUCAAGUGUUCUCCUGGGCUUCAUCUUCUGUCUACAUCACCCAGCCAAGAUACCAGCCUGCCACUGAGCUCAGCAGAUGUCCGUGGUAUGAAUGGAUUCCGAGCAGACGGCACAAAAAUGAAGAAGAUGGGAGAAUGGUUGGGAGCCACCCUCUAAUAGAGGAUUACAUUUAAAUACAUUAAAGAUGGGAGCUGUCGUAUGGGUUAGCAUAGCAACAAUGACCUUAUCAUUUCCAAGCCGACAGUACAGAUGGAUGUUCUCAUUGUCUUAAAAAUAGGUCCACGAUGAUACCGCAGGAUUGAUGGAUGGAAGUGCAUGAUUGACAAUUGAAACUGGGAUUGUGGCUAUAUUCAACCCAGGAAACUGGGGAAUCUUGGGAAGGAAUAUUUAAAAUCCAGACUCCCAAGUGCCUGUAAACCAAUUAAACAAUAGCAAGAUGAGCUUUGCUAGGAUAAGGGAGACCCUGGGUGACAUUUCCAAGCCAAGCCUGGGCAUAGCUGUUUUUCCACCCUGAGCAGCUGAGGUGCUUGCUCACGGUAGGGGGGGCAAAGAAAAAAACCGCUCAUGUGUCACUCAACUGCCCUCUGGCCCCACGUGUGGGAAUUUCUUUUAAAGAUCUUAGUAUGGGGGGACGAUAGAAUGAAAAGAGUCCGAUUAUCUACGGCAAGCCUAAUUAUAGCUUCAAGGGCGAGUACGCCAGGAAGGGUCACGUGACACGUUCCAUCCGCGAGCACUGGAGAGCAGCUGCGAACAGGAGCAGUUUCCAAUGACAGCCACCAGGUGGCAGAACAGAACGCAAACCUCUCUGCCUUAGAGGUCAGCCCUCAUUUGCCCUUAGGUGAGCAGUUUUGUGACCUUAGAAGACUCAGUAGUGACUCCACUGAGACUGUGAUUCAAGGCCUCCGUUUCACCCGUGACUUAAUUUACAUUCAAAACAAACAAACUUCCAGUAGAAUGAACUACCUUUGAAGGAUGGGACCUUGAGAGCUAAUUGUUUAAUUUCCAGAAAUGUAACCUUUUAAUUAGAAUUAGAGUAUACCAAUUACACUUCCAUAACGCAUAAUUAGUCAACUUACAUUUAAAUUAAGAAAAUUGUCAUCCUCUGUCCUAGUCUGUCAUCAAUGGGAGGAGAGGC
rnacentral:lncRNA from 1 species